rnacentral:lncRNA from 1 species
GAAAUGGAAUACCCAAUGGGUAUCCUCCCCAGAUCAAAUUGCUUCUCUUAUAUCCUAAUCCAGGUUCAGAUAAGGAACUUCUCUCUCUCUGUUUUAACUUUUAAGUUCAGAAGUACAUGUGCAUGUUUGUUACAUAUGUAAACUUGUGUCAUUCAUGUUUGUUGUACAAAUUAUUUCAUCACCAAGGUGUUAAGCCUGGUGAUCAUUAGUUAUUUUUCCUGAUCCUCUCCCUCCUCCCACCUUCUGCCCUCCAUUAGGUCCCAGUGUGUGGAGAAGGGGGAAUGCUUAUACACUGGUGGUAGGAGUAUAAAUUAGUUCAACCAUUGUGGAAGACAGUGAUUCCUCAAAGACCAAAGAAAAUGUAUGCGUACAUACUUACAUACAUGCACACAUAUGGUCAUGUGGUGAGAAGCUGCUACAAGGAAAAUUAAGUUUUUUUUUUUCUGUAAUGAACAAUACUGAAAUAAAAAUCUUGCUGGGUACAGUGGCUCACGCCUGUAAUCCCAACACUUUGGGAGGCCGAGGCGGGUGGAUCACCUGAGGUCAGGAGUUCGAGACCAGCAUGGUCAACAUGGCGAAACCCCACGUCUACUAAAAAUACAAAAAUUAGCCGGGCAUGAUGGUGGGCACCUUUAAUCCCAGCUACUCGGGAGGCUGAGGCAGGAGACUUUCUUGAACCCAGGAGGCGGAAAUUGCAGUGAGCCGAGAUGGCGCCACUGCAGUCCAGCCUGGGCCAGAGCAAGACUCUGUCUCAAAAAAAAAAAAAAAAAAAAGCCAAGCACUGUGGCUCACACCUGUAAUCCCAGCACUUUGGGAGGCUAAGGCAGGUGGAUCACCUGAGGUCAGGAGUUCGAGGCCAUCCUGACCAACAUGAAGAAACCCUGUCUCUACUAAAAAUGCAAAAUUAGCUAGGCAUAGUGGUGCAUGCCUGUAAUCCCAGCUACUCAGGAGGCUGAGGCAGGAGAAUCGCUUGAAACUGGGAGGCAGAUGUUGCGGUGAGCCAAGAUCGUGCCACUGCACUCCAGCCUGGGCAACAAGAGCGAAACUCCAGCUCAAAAAAAAAAAAAAGAAAAGAAAAGAAAAGAAGAAAGAAAAAGAAAAGAAAAGAAGAAAGAAAAAGAAAAGAAAAGAAGAAAGAAAAAGAAAAGAAAAGAAAAAAGAUUCCUAUUCUGCCUAUGUAAACCUAUCCUCUAAGUCAGAGGAAGCUGAGAGGCUGAAGAAGGAGGCUGACAAGGUCAGUUAUUUAGAAAAAAACAGUUAAUAAGGACUUAUAAAUGGAAGCCAUGUCUGUGUCUAGGGCAGAGGCUAGACUAAAUGGUGGAUACCCAUGCGAUUACCCCUCCAGAGUCAGGGCUUGUAUACCAUAGGGAAAUGGUAUAUGUGAUUCAGAAGGGGUGUGUAGGACAAUUGAAGUACGACAACAUCAAGGUUGUUUGACUUAAGGGCAGGAUUUACGGUAAGCACCUCUCUUACCCAAGGAAUAAUAGAUAAACUGGAAAUCUGAAAGGACUUCCUGGAACUGGGGUUAUUCAGAAGUCAACAUGGCUGACUAGCAUCCAAGAUGGAGUUGCUUUGGCUUCCAUACUCCACCUCCCUAAUCCAGCUUUUAGAAUCUCACAUGCACCUCUCUUCCACAAUGGUUGCUGAGCCUUUAGGGAGAGUGCUUGAUGUGGGAUAGCUUUAGCAGCAGUGUGUUGGCAAUGGAAAACAGAUUAGGCCCAGUGGGAUUCCAAAUGAGAGGCAUUUA